rnacentral:rRNA from 1 species
AUACGGAGGAUGCAAGCGUUAUCCGGAUUUAUUGGGUUUAAAGGGUGCGUAGGCUGUUCGGAAAGUCAGGGGUGAAAGCCCGGCGCCUAACGCCGGAACUGCCUUUGAUACUUCCGAGCUGGAAUACGGAUGCCGUGGGGGGAAUGAGUAGUGUAGCGGUGAAAUGCAUAGAUAUUACUCAGAACACCGAUUGCGAAGGCAUCUCACGAAUCCGUCAUUGACGCUGAGGCACGAAAGCGUGGGGAUCAAACAGGAUUAGAUACCCUGGUAGUCCACGCAGUAAACGAUGAUGACUAACCGUCGGCGAUACACAGUCGGUGGCCAAGCGAAAGCGAUAAGUCAUCCACCUGGGGAGUACGUUCGCAAGAAUGAAACUCAAAUGAAUUGGCGGGG